GGUCCCAUAGUUCAGCGGUCAAAACACGACCUUGACGUGGUUGAGGCAGGAGUUCGACUCUCCUUGGGACCA
rnacentral:tRNA from 1 species